rnacentral:rRNA from 1 species
CCUACGGGAGGCUGCAGUGGGGGAUAUUGCACAAUGGGGGGAACCCUGAUGCAGCGACGCCGCGUGGGUGAAGAAGCGCCUCGGCGCGUAAAGCCCUGUCAGCAGGGAAGAAAAUGACGGUACCUGAAGAAGAAGCCCCGGCUAACUACGUGCCAGCAGCCGCGGUAAUACGUAGGGGGCAAGCGUUAUCCGGAUGUACUGGGUGGAAAGGGGGCGCAGACGGCGAUGCAAGCCAGGAGUGAAAGCCCGGGGCCCAACCCCGGGACUGCUCUUGGAACUGCGUGGCUGGAGUGCAGGAGGGGCAGGCGGAAUUCCUGGUGUAGCGGUGAAAUGCGUAGAUAUCAGGAGGAACACCGGUGGCGAAGGCGGCCUGCUGGACUGCAACUGACGUUGAGGCCCGAAAGCGUGGGGAGCAAACAGGAUUAGAUACCCUGGUAGUC